AUUGAACGCUGGCGGCAGGCCUAACACAUGCAAGUCGAGCGGAUGACGGGAGCUUGCUCCUGGAUUCAGCGGCGGACGGGUGAGUAAUGCCUAGGAAUCUGCCUGGUAGUGGGGGAUAACGUCCGGAAACGGGCGCUAAUACUGCAAACGUCCUGCGGGAGAAAGUGGGGGAUCUUCGGACCCCACGCUCUCAGAUGAGCCUAGGUCGGAUUCGAUAGUUGGUGGGGUAAAGGCCUCCCAAGGCUACGAUCCGUAACUGGUAUGAGAGGAUGAUCAGUCACACUGGAUGUGAGACACAGUCCAGACACUGACGGUGAGCAACAGUGGGGAAUAUUAGACGAAGGGCGAGUGGCUGAUACAGCCAUGCCGCGUGUACGAAGAAGGUCUUCGGAUUGGAGAGCGAUGUAAGUUGGGAGGAAGGACAGUAAUAUAAUACCUUGCGAUUUUGACGUUACCAACAGAAUAAGCACCGGCUAACUUCGUG
rnacentral:rRNA from 1 species